GAUAAAAGAGCUUCUUGGUGAUGAAAGGAGUAGCAGAGUCUCCCCAGCCUCCUCUAGUGCAGGGAGUGUGUGUGCAGGUCUGCACAUACAUACUGCUGGGCACAACCUCUCAGACCCCAGACUGCUGGGAGAGAAUUCAAGAAGGUGAUGGAGACUUUGGCGAAAGGACUGAAGCCACUUGGGAGCAGUGUGGCCUUGCCUAUGAGGAAGGCUCAGGGAACCUUCCCGGAACUGACCAGCACAGCCGGGCAGCCUGGAGUCUCCAGCUGAUGAAAAGGGAGAUAUUUCACAGAGUAUAAAUCUUUCAUCUUGCAAAUGCUCCUUUGGUGAGAAAUCAGACAUGGAUAAGGAGUGGGCAGAAUUUUUGCCCCAGUGAAUGGAAUUAAAGGAUGGAGCUUCCUGCCUUUGUUCUAUGACUCGGUAGUGUGCAGUUCAUAGAAAACAAGAUUUUCUGUUUAUGAUGAGUUCAUUGACUACACCAGGGCUCUGCAGGGAAGCCAGUGAUGACCCCUCUGGCCGCACAAAGGGGAGCAGAGGGAAAGAGAGAGAGGAGUUGUCACAGGCAGAGGUGAUGGUAGUCCACCCCAUGUCAGCCUCCGGGCUGUGAGAUCUUCUGACAAGAGGCAAACUGAGGAAUGU
rnacentral:lncRNA from 1 species